GACGAACGCUGGCGGCGUGCCUAACACAUGCAAGUCGAGCGGAGUCGAUCGACGGAAGCCUUCGGGCGGAAGAUGGUUGACUUAGCGGCGGAUGGGUGAGUAACGCGUGGGCAACCUGCCUCGAAGACCGGGAUAACAGCCCGAAAGGGCUGCUAAUACCGGAUGUGGUCAAGGAUCCGCAUGGAUUUUUGAUUAAAGGGGAAACCCGUUUCGAGAUGGGCCCGCGUCCUAUCAGCUAGUUGGUGAGGUAAAAGCUCACCAAGGCGACGACGGGUAGCCGGCCUGAGAGGGUGACCGGCCACACUGGAACUGAGACACGGUCCAGACUCCUACGGGGGCAGCAGUGGGGAAUCUUCCACAAUGGGCGAAAGCCUGAUGGAGCGACGCCGCGUGAGCGAAGAAGGCCUUCGGUUGUAAAGCUCUGUCUGGAGGGACGAAGGAAGUGACGGUACCUCCGGAGGAAGCCACGGCUAACUACGUGCCAGCAGCCGCGGUAAAAGUACUACUAU
rnacentral:rRNA from 1 species